CUUUCGAAGAGCGAGUUUAAUUAUAAGCCGAACAGUUAGUCCCCGUAAAUAAUGUGACGAUGCGUCCCGCGAGUGGUUGCAGCGUAUGUCCCCCAUGGGACAUUAAUUUUGCAACGAUCGAUAGUUACCCGACAUUUUCGAGUAAUUUUCAAGUGUUUUUUUAGCCCUUUUAAAUUCGAUUUCGUGAGUUGUUCUCUCGUUAAACGAUACCUAGAUAUAUUGCUGUUGUCGGUAAAAUUAAUUUUAAAGUCUACUCUGUUUUAUUUUCAUCGCAAAAGCAUCAGAAAAUAUGUGCGUUUAUUAUAGUAUCUCAUCAUAGCAUGGCGACUGGUGACGUUAUAGCCAAGUGGCGUCGUAUGAAUAGCAACUGCUAAUACACAAUGUCUGGAGAAACCUUCGAGGAAAAUACGAUCCCGGUCGAUCGAUACUCGUUGCAGUAAGAGAAAGAAUAAGAGAAAAAAGAAAGCUUCUCCGAUGGACUAGAGAGUGAAAGGGAUACACCGAUGGUUUUCGAAUAUCUAUACGAUCAUCGAUCGCAUCGAUUCGGCAAGCUUCCACGAGGAAGGAAAAUUGGUCCUGUUUCGUUUCAUCCUUAAUGGAUUGUCCUUUGCAGGGAUUUUACAUUGGUUGAAAUAAAGAUGCUUAGUUUCUGAACCCAUGUUAAUCUUUUAACUCCAUGAUGUUUUAGUAGGACAAAAAUGCAGAAAAUACUGAUGGCAGAAAAGACAUAACAAUGGCAGACAUUUUGAUCGUCCAUUGCCAUCGUUCAAUCCCACGAACUGCUCUAGGGGAGUGGGCAAGGAUACUCACCCCCGUUUCGAUCACCCUUGAAAAUAUUUCCAGCCAUUUUUCGCCCCACCAACAGGUCUAAGAGUGUGCAGGAGAAAGUGGAGGUAGAAACAAUGGAAAAAGUACCGCCAUCUUUAAUUCCGUCUCCGGCCACCUCCACUUCGUAGGCAGCCUACGCUCCCAGUCUUCGAGGUGAAGAAAGAAAAUGCCAAGAUCGAUAAAUUCUUCUUCUUAAGACUGUCUUUUACGUCCAGCGGGUCGAAGCUAUAUCUCAAAGCUAAUUCCGCGACUGCAGCAAGAGUAUUCCUUACCGAGCUUCGCUGUAAUCUUUUUUAGCAGGCAUCCAUAGUUUUUCAAAUAAAUAUACAAUGAAAUAAAUUAGUUUAAUCAGAUUGAUCAGAAUUCCAGGAGCAGAAGGAACGUAUAUAUUAAUAGCGUUAGCUUUAUUUUUGGUAAAUAGUUGGUCUAUUCCUUAUUUGGCAUUGCAGUAAAUCAUUUAAAACGUGCAUGUAGCUCUUAAUACGUAUAAUUACACGCAUUGGUAUUAGACAAAUUAGAAUUUAAGAAAUAAAAAGAAAGGAAAUAGUUAUUUGAAUAUAACAUAUAAAAAAGUACUUUUUAGUUUGAAUUAAUACAUAGUAGCAUUCGCAUAGCUUCGUAAUAAAUGAUGAGUGAUAAAUAUAGAGUUAGACUUAUAACAAAUAAGCAAAAAUGAAGAAAAUAUCCAUCCUGGAAGGGAAGUUUCGAACAAAAAAUUACGAAACGUAAAUCGAAUAUAUCGUCGCUUGACAAAGACACGAUUCGAUAUUCUGUAUACAUCAACCCCUUUAAAUUGGUAGUUACCAGAAGCCAGAAAAGAGGAUCGCAACAGGCACCUUCGUUUCCAACACGGCUUGAAUCAAAAAUAUACUUACUUACAAAUGAUAAAUCACGAUUCUCGGUAUAUCUUCCCAAGAUAAUAAUAUAUGUUUGCAAUACAGGCGAUUAAUACCAAGAAACACGAAUAUUAAAAAUCAAAUCAAAUUAAAUCGACACAACCACGGUGUGUAUCGAGUACUCGUAUGCAGCUUGUUUUCCGUGACGUUCCGAAUAUGAGAACAGUCCUGUCAUCUCUAUCCCUGAUUUCUGAACCUUUUAAAGACCUGCCUUUCCAACGCUAUACCGACCAUAGCUCUAAGCACAGAAUCGAUGACAAACGGAACAACCGACUGGAAAACCAUCGUCAGCAGCUACGGAUAACUCGCAUUAAAAUAUCUCGCUAUCAGCAGUUCGUUUAUUGUGUUUAUUAUUGUACGAUAUUAAAAUUAGUUAGUGCGUAGCGAAUGAGACUGCAGCUCCUUACAUAUAAUAUAAUAAAUAGGCAAACGUAUAUCAAUUAUAAUAGCGAGAAUAAGAAAUAUUUAUGCCCAAUAACGUAAUGUAGAAUACAUCAGUUUUUUAAUCCGAA
rnacentral:lncRNA from 1 species